GAGAGAGAGAGAGAGGGAGAGAAAGGAGGUAAAUGAGGAAGACAUGUUGACAGUCAAUAUGUCUUCUAACAAACUUCACUUCAGAUUUCUGGAGCGUCUUAAUCAUAAAGCAAUCAUCUUGAGACAGGAAAAAGAUGCUACCACUUCUUCCAGGAGAGAAAAGUUCCCUAAGAGAACCAUUUCCACAAAUGGACGUCACAUAGUCAAUGGCAUCUAUCUUGAACUUCUCUUUCAAAUUCCUACAAUUAGAAGGAAGAAGGGUAUAUGCGUCACCAAGAAAAAAAAGGCAAGCUCAAGGUCCAAGGACUACAGAUAUAUUGAGCCAACCUGCUAUUUUAAGGCAAAGAAUAAAAGACAAUUUUAGCUAUUUCCUUUAAAAUAAAAGCAUAAAAAAAAUUAAUGCAAAAUUAUGAUCCCAAGAAUGCAGCCUGUAGUGUGUAACAAAUGAGCAAUCAUACACUCUCCAUGGGCAAAAGUAUACUACACAUAGACAGUGGUAGAUCAAACUUUUACAUUUUCAAAAAGUAAAAACACUCAAAAAAGUUAAGGAGAAACAGUAGCUACAUUAACAACAUGAAUUAGCUUGUUUGACACAUGAAUGUAGCUUGCUAAUUGAAGUGAAUAGCAAAAUUGAGUUGAAUUUAUGAGAAUAUGAAAUAAUGUAUCGAACAAAUCAAAUCAGCCGCUUGGAAAUUAUCAAAAUUGUAAUUAAUCAAAGGGCAACAAACAAACAUAAAGAAACAAACCUAAAGAAACAAACCUAAAGAUGUUUGCAUAGUAGUGUUUCCACUUAAAAUCAUCAGAUUGAUGGGGUGGUGUUAACUGUGAUCAAUCUUUUAGAAAAAUCAUCCAAAAGCUUGCUCUUUGACCAAAAUCUGACAAGCAAGCUUCUCACCUCUGUACAGGUGCAAUUUGUCCAACGGUAUACCUUUCCAUUCAAGCAGCUAGGGAGAGUGGGAUAGGAGAAAGAGAGAUCUAUCCACGGGGCACGGGCAAAUCAAGGAGCCACCUCCAGUCGCUGCUUCACCAUGGCUAGAAAACCCAUUAAAAGCAGACAGAGUUGCGUGGCAUCAAGAAGAGUUCUCAAGCACUCAGAAACAUCACCUAAAGGUACCCAUUUGCAACAAAAGGUCAAAGCUUGACACCAUUUGGAGGUGGGUUUGCUAUUGGCGAGGUUUUCAUGGAGACAGAAGAAAUUGACAGACAAAGGACAAGAAAAGGAGAAGAAAAAGGAAGAGCGGCAUAGUAGGUAAACUAAAACCGAAAGAAAAGAGAAGAAAUAAGUAGUACGCCAGAUGAGGAUGAACCCAGAGCCAACAUUUACCCCUCCUCUCCAAUCUCUCAUAUUAAAUUUUAUCAAUUUCUUAUGUAAGUGUUUCCUAAAAUUAAAUUUAUUCUUUUGAGUUUGGUACAUGUAACUCUAGCAUUAUAAAUGCUGAAUUGAGUGCAAUUAAGGGCCAAUUUCGUGUUUCGGGCCCUGAGAGAUCUGGAACCGAGGUCCAAUCCAUUAACGAAGUCCGGAUCUACCCGAGAAACGCUUCAACUGUUGAAGUGAACACUGUAGAGUAACUUUUGAAUUUGAACUAGCCAUUGCAGGCCACAGAGAGAUUGCAAAUGGAAACGCCACCGUCAUCUUCCUGUCCUUCAACGCCUCGCUGGAACGUCGAUAGGCCCUUCCUCACUUCCACCAGGAAACAAAAGGAACCUCGAGGCUUGCUGAUACAAGGGGACUCUCCUUGGAUCCGUUUAGUUUUUGUGUAUUUAAGCAGCUCGGUAAUGGACAAGGCCAUUGGUUGCUAUGAUGCUGCAGUUCAGGAACUCAUCAUCAACGAGCUCCUGUAUGCUUUAGUUGGAACUGAAGGACAAUAUAUUUCAAUCAAAAGAGUCCAUAGAAAGGAGGAUGACAUUACUUUCCAGGUUGAUGCUUCAACGGAUUUGGCACUCCAGGAAUUAGCAGAUCGGAUGUUUCCUUUAUGUGAGAGCUAUCUAUUGAUUGACCAGUUUGUUGAGUCACGGUCACAAUUCAAGAAUGGCGUAGUUAAUCAUGCAUUCGCUGCUGCACUCAGGGCACUUCUU
rnacentral:misc_RNA from 1 species